rnacentral:lncRNA from 7 species
AAUGCUUUCUGAACCCGUAUGACUUACAGAUAUGAUGGUGGGCAAAUAUAUUUCUACCUGACACAUCCUCCUCCUCCACCAGUGCCAAUUAUAACUCAGAUGGACUCGGGGGAUUACUGACAAUUUCUUUAAUGGUGUGUGAGAGUUCCCAUUGCCCAUAUAGAUUUACUCUGCAACACAGACAGUGACAAAAAGAUGCCAUCUCUGUGUCAUACUGUCAAUGGAUGCCAUGGAGAGAAUCUCAAUGCCAUUUCAAAAUCUGCUAGCAGAGAGGAAAGUGAAGACUAAUCUGAGGAUUCAAAAUGGAAUGUUCAGCUUUGACUGAGACACCAGACUUUGCUGAAGUCUCAUAAUGACAAAGGAUUUGUAGCAAAACCAGUUCUUCAUGGAAGAGUCUGAGAACAUGAGAAAAAAAAAGAGCAGAAAUGGUACUUAGAGCAUACUUGAUAGAGCAGUGUGAGGACCAAUAUACGUGCUAACUGGGCCUGGAAAAUUAAAUCCUCCUUUGUAUAGAUUAUUCUUUUGAAGAAUCUGAGUAUACUUUGCUCAAGGCUUUCUUUCCCUGAUUAUUUUGUGAAGAAUGAGAGAGUUAGAACUGUAUAAGAAUAGAGUAAUUAAGGUUAGCAAAGACCAAUAAGAUCAUCUAGUCAAACUGUCAACACAUCCUCAACACGUCCUCUAACCAUGUCCUUCAGUCCAGUGCAUUACCACUCUUUUAGAGAGGUCAUUUUUUCUAACAUCCAAACUGAACCUCCCCUGGGACAACUUGAGGCUACUACUCAUCCCAUCACUAUUACCUGGGAGAAGAUGCUGACACCCAUCUAACCACAACCUCCUUUUAGGGAGUUGUAGAGAGCAAUAAAGUCUCCCAUGAGCCUCUUCUUCUCCAGACUGAACAAUCCCAGUUGCCUCAGCUGCUCCCCAUAACACUUGUCCAGAUCCUUCACAACUUCAUUGCCCUUCACUGAACACACUCCAGGGCCUUGAUGUCUUUCUUGCAGUGAGAGACCAAAACUGACCACAGUACUCAAAGUGCAGUCUCUCCACUGCUGAAUACAUGGGGACAAUUAUUUCCCUGCUCCUGCUGGCUGCACUAUUUCUGAUAGUAGUCAAGAUGCCAUUGGCUUUCUUGGCCACCUAAGCACACUCCUAGAUCAUGUUUAGCCAGGUGUCAAUUAACAUGCCCAGAUCCUUUCCCUCCGCACAGCUUUCCAGUCACUCUGCCUCAACCCUGUAGCGUUGCCUGGGGUUUCUUUGACCAAAGUGCAAGACCCAGCACUUGGUCGUCUGAAGCUCAUAAAAUUGGCCUCAGCCCAUCAAUCUACCCUGUUCAGUUCCCUCUGUAGGGUCUUCCUACUCUCAUGCAAAUCAACUCUUUCUGCCGCGUUGGUGUCAUCUGCAAACUUAGUGAGGCUGCACUCAAUCUCCUCAUCCAGGUCAUCAGUAAACAUAUUAAACAGGACAGACCCCAGUACCAACCACAGGGGAACACCACUCAUGACCAAUCACCAGCUGGAUUUAAUUCCAUUCAACCCCACACUCUGGGCCCAGCCAUCCAGCCAGGAUCCAAGUGGAUCCCAUCCAGCCCCUUGGACUUGUAACAGUCAUGACAAGGCCUACAUUUAUCUAGUUUGUUAUAUAGUGCUGCCUGUGUGAUAUCUGCUGUCAAUAGUCUGUGAAUAAACUAUAAUG